rnacentral:rRNA from 1 species
UACGGAGGGUGCGAGCGUUGUCCGGAAUCACUGGGCGUAAAGGGCGCGUAGGCGGCCUGAUAAGUAGGGGGUGAAAUCCUGCGGCUUAACCGCAGGGCUGCCUUCUAAACUGUCAGGCUCGAGCACAGUAGAGGCAGGUGGAAUUCCCGGUGUAGCGGUGGAAUGCGUAGAGAUCGGGAAGAACAUCAGUGGCGAAGGCGGCAUCCUGGACCGGUAUUGACGCUGAGGCGCGAAAGCCAGGGGAGCAAACGGG